rnacentral:rRNA from 1 species
AGCAGCCGCGGUAAUUCCAGCUCCAAUAGCGUAUAUUAAAGUUGUUGCAGUUAAAAAGCUCGUAGUUGAAUUUCGGGAUUGGCGCAUCGGUCGUGCCUCACGGGGUAUGAACUGGUGCAGUCAAUUUCUCACCUUCUGGAGAACCGCGAUGUCCUUAAUUGGAUGCCGCGGGGAACCAGGACCUUUACUUUGAAAAAAUUAGAGUGUUUAAAGCAGGCAUUUUUGCUUGAAUACAUUAGCAUGGAAUAAUAAAAUAGGACGGCAUGGUUCUAUUUUGUUGGUUUCUAGGACCACCGUAAUGAUUAAUAGGGAUAGUUGGGGGCAUUAGUAUUCAAUUGUCAGAGGUGAAAUUCUUGGAUUUAUUGAAGACUAACUACUGCGAAAGCAUUUGCCAAGGAUGUUUUCAUUAAUCAAGAACGAAAGUUAGGGGAUCGAAGACGAUCAGAUACCGUCGUAGUCUUAACCAUAAACUAU